CCCUUAGAUGUUCUGGGCCGCACGCGCGCUACACUGAUGCAUUCAACGAGUUUCUUCCUGGUCCGAGAGGAAUGGGUAACCUUUUGAAAGUGCAUCGUGAUAGGGAUAGACUAUUGCAAUUAUUGGUCUUCAACGAGGAAUUCCUAGUAGACGUAGUUCAUCAGACUGCAUCGAUUACGUCCCUGCCCUUUGUACACACCGCCCGUCGCUCCUACCGAUUGAAUGCUCAGGUGAGCCAUUCGGACUUUCAUCAUGCUGGUUUCCAGUUUUGAUGAAGCAAAGUCUUGCGAACCUUAUCAUUUAGAGGAAGGAGAAGUCGUAACA
rnacentral:rRNA from 1 species